GUCGUAGUAGUCCAGUGGUUAAGACGUUGGCCUUCUGACCAGAAGGUCAUGAGUUCAAAUCCCAGCACUGCCA